rnacentral:rRNA from 1 species
UUCUGUAAGCCUGUGAAGGUGGCCUGUGAGGGUUGCUGGAGGUAUCAGAAGUGCGAAUGCUGACAUAAGUAACGAUAAAGCGGGUGAAAAGCCCGCUCGCCGGAAGACCAAGGGUUCCUGUCCAACGUUAAUCGGGGCAGGGUGAGUCGACCCCUAAGGCGAGGCCGAAAGGCGUAGUCGAUGGGAAACGGGUUAAUAUUCCCGUACUUGGUGUUACUGCGAAGGGGGGACGGAGAAGGCUAUGUUGGCCGGGCGACGGUUGUCCCGGUUUAAGCGUGUAGGUGUGUGUUCCAGGUAAAUCCGGUUCACUUUAACACUGAGGCGUGACGACGAGGCACUACGGUGCUGAAGCAACAAAUGCCCUGCUUCCAGGAAAAGCCUCUAAGCAUCAGGUAACAUCAAAUCGUACCCCAAACCGACACAGGUGGUCAGGUAGAGAAUACCAAGGCGCUUGAGAGAACUCGGGUGAAGGAACUAGGCAAAAUGGUGCCGUAACUUCGGGAGAAGGCACGCUGACACGUAGGUGAAGUGAUUUACUCAUGGAGCUGAAGUCAGUCGAAGAUACCAGCUGGCUGCAACUGUUUAUUAAAAACACAGCACUGUGCAAACACGAAAGUGGACGUAUACGGUGUGACGCCUGCCCGGUGCCGGAAGGUUAAUUGAUGGGGUCAGCGCAAGCGAAGCUCCUGAUCGAAGCCCCGGUAAACGGCGGCCGUAACUAUAACGGUCCUAAGGUAGCGAAAUUCCUUGUCGGGUAAGUUCCGACCUGCACGAAUGGCGUAAUGAUGGCCAGGCUGUCUCCACCCGAGACUCAGUGAAAUUGAACUCGCUGUGAAGAUGCAGUGUACCCGCGGCAAGACGGAAAGACCCCGUGAACCUUUACUAUAGCUUGACACUGAACAUUGAGCCUUGAUGUGUAGGAUAGGUGGGAGGCUUUGAAGUGUGGACGCCAGUCUGCAUGGAGCCGACCUUGAAAUACCACCCUUUAAUGUUUGAUGUUCUAACGUGGACCCGUAAUCCGGGUUGCGGACAGUGUCUGGUGGGUAGUUUGACUGGGGCGGUCUCCUCCUAAAGAGUAACGGAGGAGCACGAAGGUUGGCUAAUCCUGGUCGGACAUCAGGAGGUUAGUGCAAUGGCAUAAGCCAGCUUGACUGCGAGCGUGACGGCGCGAGCAGGUGCGAAAGCAGGUCAUAGUGAUCCGGUGGUUCUGAAUGGAAGGGCCAUCGCUCAACGGAUAAAAGGUACUCCGGGGAUAACAGGCUGAUACCGCCCAAGAGUUCAUAUCGACGGCGGUGUUUGGCACCUCGAUGUCGGCUCAUCACAUCCUGGGGCUGAAGUAGGUCCCAAGGGUAUGGCUGUUCGCCAUUUAAAGUGGUACGCGAGCUGGGUUUAGAACGUCGUGAGACAGUUCGGUCCCUAUCUGCCGUGGGCGCUGGAGAACUGAGGGGGGCUGCUCCUAGUACGAGAGGACCGGAGUGGACGCAUCACUGGUGUUCGGGUUGUCAUGCCAAUGGCACUGCCCGGUAGCUAAAUGCGGAAGAGAUAAGUGCUGAAAGCAUCUAAGCACGAAACUUGCCCCGA